CGCUGGCGGCGUGCCUAAUACAUGCAAGUCGAGCGGAUCUUGUUCAGAAGCUUGCUUCUGAACUUGGUUAGCGGCGGACGGGUGAGUAACACGUAGGCAACCUGCCCUUAAGACCGGGAUAACAUUCGGAAACGAAUGCUAAGACCGGAUACGCAAGAGGAUGGCAUCGUUCUCUUGGGAAACACGGAGCAAUCUGUGGCUUAAGGAUGGGCCUGCGGCGCAUUAGCUAGUUGGUGGGGUAACGGCUCACCAAAGUGACAAUGCGUACCCGACCUGAGAGGGUGAACGGCCACACUGGGACUGAGACACGGCCCAAACUCCUACCGGAGGCAGCAGUAGGGAAUCUUCCACAAUGGGCGCAAGCCUGAUGGAGCAACGCCGCGUGAGUGAGGAAGGCUUUCGGGUCGUAAAGCUCUGUUGCCAGGGAAGAAUAAGAGCCAGUUAACUGCUGGUUCGAUGACGGUACCUGAGAAGAAAGCCCCGGCUAACUACGUGCCAGCAGCCGCGGUAAUACGUAGGGGGCAAGCGUUGUCCGGAAUUAUUGGGCGUAAAGCGCGCGCAGGCGGUCUUUUAAGUCUGGUGUUUAAGUGCGGGGCUCAACCCCGUGACGCACUGGAAACUGGGAGACUUGAGUGCAGAAGAGGAGAGCGGAAUUCCACGUGUAGCGGUGAAAUGCGUAGAGAUGUGGAGGAACACCAGUGGCGAAGGCGGCUCUCUGGACUGUAACUGACGCUGAGGCGCGAAAGCGUGGGGAGCAAACAGGAUUAGAUACCCUGGUAGUCCACGCCGUAAUGACUGCUACGUGAUGGGGGGGUCCACCCCUCGAUGCCGACGCUCACACAUUGAGCACUCCGCGUGGUGAGUACGGUCACAAGACUGAAACUCACAGGAAUUGACCGGAUCCUGCACAAGCAGUGGAGUAUGUGGUUUAAUUCGAAGCAACGCGAAGAACCUUACCAGGUCUUGACAUCCCUCUGAAUCCUCUAGAGAUAGAGGCGGCCUUCGGGACAGAGGAGACAGGUGGUGCAUGGUUGUCGUCAGCUCGUGUCGUGAGAUGUUGGGUUAAGUCCCGCAACGAGCGCAACCCUUGAAUUUAGUUGCCAGCACCUCGGGUGGGCACUCUAGAUUGACUGCCGGUGACAAACCGGAGGAAGGCGGGGAUGACGUCAAAUCAUCAUGCCCCUUAGGACAUGGCGUACACAUGCACCACAAUGGCCGAUACAUCGGCAUGCGAAGAAGCGAUCUGGAGCCAACUCGAUAAAGC
rnacentral:rRNA from 1 species